GAUGAACGCUGGCGGCGUGCUUAACACAUGCAAGUCGAACGGACAGACCCAAGCUUGCUUGGGUGCUCGAGUGGCGAACGGGUGAGUGACACGUGUGGGAUCUGCCCUUCACUUUGGGAUAAGCCUGGGGAACUGGGUCUAAUACCGGGUAGGACCAUCGGUUCGGGUCGGUGGUGGAGAGUUUUUCGGUUUGGGUUGAGCUCGCGGCGUAUCGGCUUGUUGGUGGGGUAAUGGCCUACCUAGGCGUGGACGGGUAGCCGGCCUGUGAGGGUGUACGGCCAUACUGGGACUGAGAGACGGCCCAGACUCCUACGGGAGGCAGCAGUGCGGAAUCUUGCAGAAUGGGCGCAAGCCUGAUGCAGAGACUCUGCGGGGCGGAUGACGGCCUUCGGGUUGUAAACUCAUUUUGUAAAGGACUAAGCGUGUUGUGACGGUACCUGGUGAAGAAGCAACGGCUAACUACGUG
rnacentral:rRNA from 1 species